rnacentral:rRNA from 1 species
GUCGGUAAAAGUGGCGAGCGCAGGGGGCGACUGCCCGCCCCGGGUGCGCGUAGCUGGGGCAGGCAGGCAGGAACAUUGGCGCCCGGUUAGGUGGCGGCCAGCAGCGUCAGUUGGGCGCAGGUCGGUGGGGCUGCAGGGGAAGGGGUUGCUCUGGUGCGUUCCGGGCUGGGGCUGCGCUGACGGUCGCCCGGGGCGCUGCCGCGUCCGGGUGGACCGUAACUUUGGCGCCCUGGCGGGCGCAGCCUUUUAAUAAAUGGGUGGCGCGCGGUCGCUCGCGCGUGCGGUGGAGAGGAGGGGGCGUUCGUCGGCGUUCGGCGGCUCCGGCUGCCGCUGCCCUCGGGGGGUUAGGGGUUUAGGCCGCGGCGCGUCGGUCGGAGCCGGGCCGCAUACCUAGGUCUACAAGAGCACCCGGGCAUCGUUCGUCAGGAGUGGGCGGAGGAGGAGGCCGGCGGCGCCGCCCCUGCGGCGGCGGCGGCGGUACCUGAGGCCGUCGUCGGCGGCGUCGCCGCCGCCCUCGCCCGUGCCCUCGCCGGUGCCGUCGCCCUCACCCUCGCCCUCGCCCUCGGCGCCUGCGUCGGGCGCCGACCUCGCCGCGUUGCGCCGCUUCGUGUAGCUGAUGCUCCACCCGCGCCGCCGCUGCAGGCACAGGCGGAGCACCAGCUGGAGCAGCAGCCUCGCGAGCGGCCCCCGGGCCGGCUGCGCGAGCGAGCUGGAGCGCCGGUCCCCGCCGGCGCGCCUGAAGGCGUAGUUGCCGUCGCGCCUCCCCCUCCAGCUGCUCGAGACGGCGUCGGACCCCGACAGCCCCGGGCUCCUGAAGCGGUAGGGGCAGCGGCGGACCCUCCGGGCGUUCCGCGCGAGGUCGAGGCUGGAGGAGCGGGCGGGGGCGGGCCUGGGCCUGAGCAGCCGAGGAGGGCCCCUCCUCGGGCGGGGGCAGCAGGCGUGGCAGAGGCGGGGGCUCCAGGGCACCGGGCGCGGAGUGAGGAAGGGGCUGGGGUAAGGGCUCCUCAGGUAGGUGAGGAGGAGGCGAAGGUGGCGGUGACGGUGACUGAGCCACCUGCUUGGGUAGUAGCGCGGCGGCCUCCUUAGGGGGUUUCGAUGGGCACGCCAACGACAACGCCGCGGGCAGCGCCGGAACAGUGAAGGGAGCGGCUCUUCCCCGCCGCCCCUCCAGCCCUAGGCCCCGCAGGCCGGCGGUCACGAGAGGGGCGGAGGCGGCUAGUGCCCUGAGCGCGGCGGUGGCCGCUCCGUCAGCAGACACCGACUCUAGUACUCGCCCAGCCGGACCCUGUAACACUUGAGCAAGCGAGGGUGCCUCCUCUUAUCACUUGACUCUUACCGGAUACCUGUACGACUUUGUAGAGUGUACAGUCUGUGUCUCCUCCUAUUAGGACUCCUCUUGCUACUUCCUAACUGCCCCGAACUCCCCCUCGAAUUUCCGACCUCCCAUCCCCUCUGGAAACUUCCCAAGUGGCCCUGUAGGAGUAACAGCUGUUGUUUACUACUACUACGUAGAUCGUGCUUAUGUCUCCGGCACAAGCAGUAGAGCGGCUUACCGUUCAAGUUCGCCUUGUAGUUCAGUACCUACGCACCACGUGAAGACCCUUCACCGAGUAAGCCCUACCACAUGCUUCCCUAGUCACUACUUCCACGCAAGAAACGACAAUUCCUUCAUAGCAACGAACUGGUUCCUUCGUUACGUGUCGUUAGAUAAGAAAGUGAACUUGUCCUUUAGCGAGAGGAAUCAGUCAAACUUGUACUUUUGUAUCAGGUCAUAAUACCUUGACUGUUCCUUCUUAGUUUUGAGAUGUAAAAAUAACUCGAACAAUGUGUUCCAAGAGAAAGUAGGGAGAUAGUUUUCAUAUUUGACGCUCUGAGUGUUCAGAGACGCAUGUGUUCCGUCUAAGAGUUACCUAACCAAAUAGAGGUACUCUCCUUACACCAGGUGUCUCUAUAGUUUACGCGGUUAUAUAACCAAGUACGUUUACCUAGCCAUUUUGAACGUCUAAAACCCAACCGUUUCCUCUACAGAUUUUAAUUAUACGACUCUAGUACGUUUCCUUCACAAAUAACCUACCGUGGACUCCAACAAUUAGGAUCUUUUUGUAUACCCGGACGUCGACUAUACACCUCGAACCCGACGUGACACAACCUUUACGAUUGGGCGGUUUAUGGUAUAGGGUUACAGCUCACCUGUUUACGAAAGAAAUACUAACCGUUUCCUCUUGUUGGUGGGUAAGGGUCGGUGAACAGUCGUCUUCGAGUUCUAAAGUAUGCGGUUACACAUGCUCAGCUAGGUCUGCUCGCUGGAAGGCGUAGUGUUGAAAACCGCGUGGGUAAACAAUUGGCCGGUGAAGCUCGAAGAAAACUAAGAAACAGAGGAGGCUAGUUAUCCGGGAUCAUAACUAUCACACCAAAGAGACAAACACGGUGGUGCCAGGUGCCGAGUAGAGGACUAAACUAGAAGUACUAGAGGUGGUACCCCCCGUCAUGAAAUCCUCCUGCAUCAACUCGUACACGUCAGUUUAUCCUACUACCCACUCCAACUCGUGACUGGUACAAACAAGCUAACAAACACGUAAAAAAAGUAUCCGUUUCAAAAGCUAUCUAAAACAACAUGUUGAAUCACCUCCUCUCUCAACCUUGACGUCACGACGAUCCCACAGGACGACGAAACAUUUACAAACUGGUGACCGAUAAUAAGAAAUGGGGUACCGACGAACAACGAGGAUUUAGUUGGCCUCGUAAUGAUAGCGUACCAUAUCGCCAUAAGAAAAGAAGAUCACUCACCUUUAAAACGUAAAAAACACCACAAUAGCGAAUAAAAGGCAUUAAAACAAACCACUAAUAAGCGACAUGACAUGCCACCUUUCCCUCAUUGACCGUAACUAGAAUCCCGUACAUGUUACCAGCUAUUCCAUCAGAAUAGAAUUUAGAAC